rnacentral:rRNA from 1 species
UACGGGAGGCAGCAGUGGGGAAUAUUGCACAAUGGGCGAAAGCCUGAUGCAGCUAUGCCGCGUGUAUGAAGAAGGCCUUAGGGUUGUAAAGUACUUUCAUCGGGGAGGAAAAAACAAAACUAAUAAUUUUAUUUCUUGACGUUACCCGAAAAAGAAGCACCGGCUAACUCCGUGCCAGCAGCCGCGGUAAUACGGAGGGUGCUAGCGUUAAUCAGAAUUACUGGGCGUAAAGAGCACGUAGGUGGUUUUUUUAAAGUCAGAUGUGAAAUCCCUGGGCUUAACCUGGAACUGCAUUUUGAAACUGAAAUACUAGAGUAUCGUAGAGGGAGGUAGAAUUCUAGGUGUAGCGGUGAAAUGCGUAGAUAUCUGGAGGAAUACCUGGUGGCGAAAGCGGCCUCCUAAACGAAUACUGACACUGAGUGCGAAAGCGUGGGGAGCAAACGAGGGAUUAGACUACC